GCAUACUAAUUGUGCCUUUUCUGUUCACAGGUACAAAUCUUCAAAUCGCGUCUAAAAUGGCACACUUGCUGUUUUGCAUCUUCUACAGAAUGGCCACAUCGACUGCAACAAGGUAAAACUGCCACUUUUGAAUACAUAUCAGACUAAAUCCCAAAUGUGUCUAUUCUCAUUUCUGUCUACGCAGGCUCACCUCGACAGAAUGACUCUCAAAAUGGCUGCCAUCCUGUGGCGUUUGGGUCUCCCAAA